AGACAUUUCUAAAAGGCCCCCUCCCCGCUGCCGGGUGGAGAGGGAGCGUGGGGGGAUCCGCCUUCUGCCCCCGAGCCCCCAGCCAGCCUGGGCCCCCCAGGGUCACCCUGGGGCUCUGAAGGGGGCUUCGGCCGCUGGUUGAAUGAAGGGCCACAGAAAAUGAAGCUGGCGCAACGACCGCAGAACCCUCAGUGGGCACCAGGACCACGGAGCUCAGGGUGCCAAUGGUGAUGGCUGGGGGUGGGGAGUACUGUGGGCAGCAGGGGAUGCUGAGCGGGGUUUGGGGCUCCCCCUUUCCAUACUCAGUCUUCCUGCCAGCCUCAGAGCUGAGUACACCGUUGGCGAUUAAUAAGCGCUUGCAGCUCCCUUCCCUGGCCAGCCUGAGGGGAGCGGCAGUGGCCCGUAUGGGGUGGGGGUGGCGGUGGAGUGCGUCCUGGCGCAGAGCUGGCACACAGCACAAACAAACGCCUUGGCGGGAGUGGGUCUGUCCCGGAAGGGAGCCCAGGGGUUAUUGGGGUUGGGGCUGCGCCCCAAAGCGGGAGGGCCCUGCGAGAAGGGAGGCCCUGGCUGGAGGGGGACCCUGAGACUGGAGGUGCCGGACCCGGAUGCGGGGCCAGAUGGAGACAACAGGAAGGAAAGAGACCUUCCUGGUCACACUUGGGCCACAGGAGAACAGGCAGCGGCCCAGGAGGAUCCAGGGUCCUGAUGGUGGUUGAGAAGCUGGUUCUUAGUGAUCACUCAGAAACGUCGGCCUGGCCUUGUGGGGUCAGACCUUGCAUCUCAGUCAGCCCAGGGAGAAGAAGAAGAUGGUCCACACCCAAGUGCAGGGAACAUCGUGGCAGUCGGCUGGGUGCCUGCGUCCAGGCGAGGACACCUCCCGCAUCAGGGAAACACACGUUUCUGGAGUGAGGAGGCUGAAGGCAGGGCCCAGAGGAGAGCUGAGCCAUGGAAGGAGGUGUGUGCAUGGAUGGUGAGCUAGAGCAGGUGCAGGUGCCUCAGGAAGAAUUGCUUGAACCAAGGAGGCAGAGGUUGUAGUAAGCUGACAUUGUGCCACUGCACUCCAACAACCGAGCGAGACCCUGUCUCAAAAAAAAAAUCUAUAAAACAUUAGUAGCUCUUACAAAUUGACAAGUAGAAUACAAACAACCAAGUUUUUAAAAAGAUGAUUCUCUGAUAAACAAAUGGAAGUGUGCAAUUAAAAAUAUAAAAAGUAAAUCAGACUCACUGGUAGUCAGAUACACGGGAUCUUUUCUGUGGAGUCCUAAUGAUGGAAAAGGAGCCAGGUUGGUUGGACCAAGGGAAAGCAAAAAGAGAAGGCAGAUGAACUACAAGUCUGCCUUUCUUCCUGGUGCAGGACUUAGCCCUCCUAUGCAAAUAACUCACAUAACUCACAAUCUUCCUGCACUCAACUUAUGACCUCAGUUGAUAGAAAAAUGCAAAUUAGCUCACUGAAACCUUGGCAUUAUCAGCACUGCAUGUAACCCUCUCCGGCACAAGCACCAUCCUAUAAAAUCCCCAGCAAGCCUUUGUCUCCUGGCAGCCAGCUCCUCCCUUGCUGACCUGCCCUUUCCAUUCUUGCAACGUAUUUUCCUACAUUCUCUAAUAAAUCUGCCUUUCCUUACCUAC
rnacentral:lncRNA from 10 species